rnacentral:rRNA from 1 species
CUGGCUCAGGACGAACGCUGGCGGCGUGCCUAAUACAUGCAAGUCGAGCGAACAGAGAAGGAGCUUGCUCCUUUGACGUUAGCGGCGGACGGGUGAGUAACACGUGGGCAACCUACCUUAUAGUUUGGGAUAACUCCGGGAAACCGGGGCUAAUACCGAAUAAUCUGUUUCACCUCAUGGUGAAACACUGAAAGACGG